UGGUAAUAUCACGUGUACUGUGGGGUUUUCUAUUUCUUAAUUACACCGGGACUGGGACACAAGGAGAUGUGUAUCUCGGUAAAACUGAUAUUGGCGCAGCGGGAUUCUUUUUGGCUCCAUUUAAUUACCGGGUGGAAACUUCAACAUUUACUUACCGUUCGGGAUUAAACUUUUUAGUACCAAAGCCUGAAAUAGACAAUGGUCUUGCUACUUCAUUACGGCCAUUUUCUUUAAUUGUUUGGAUUGUUUUGCUGGCGUUUUUAUUAGUGCCUAUUUUUGUGAUAACAAUAUUAAAAAAUAAAUUCAAUCAAUACGGUUUUUAUAGGUAUUGUGUAUGAUAUUCAACUGUUGACUUAGUUUUAUCUAGUUUAGCACUUUUGUUGCAACAGGGCGUGCGGUUACCCAUGAAAAUGUAUUUAAUGUAUAG